rnacentral:misc_RNA from 1 species
GAUGAAGAACGCAGCGAAACGCGAUAAGUAAUGUGAAUUGCAGAAUCCAGUGAAUCAUCGAAUCUUUGAACGCACAUUGCGCCCGCCAGCAUUCUGGCGGGCAUGCCUGUUCGAGCGUCAUUUCAACCCUCGACCUCCCCUUGGGGAGGUCGGCGUUGGGGACCGGCAGCACACCGCCGGCCCUGAAAUGGAGUGGCGGCCCGUCCGCGGCGACCUCUGCGCAGCAAUACAGCUCGCACCGGGACCCCGACGCGGCCACGCCGUAAAACACCCAACUUCUGAACGUUGACCUCGAAUCAGGUAGGACUACCCGCUGAACUUAAGCAUAUCAAUAAGCGGAGGA